GUCCCUUCCACCUCUGUCAUUCUAUGAUUCUAUUUUGUUAACCAAUCUGUUAGAAUCAUAGAAUUGUAGAGUCGGAAGGGAC